rnacentral:lncRNA from 1 species
CUUCUUGUUUCUUGCAUUAACAAAAGUUGCAUCUAAAAUUUCAAAAUGAUAACUAAAUUAGUGUCUUUCUAUUUUUAAAGUUUUAUCUCCAAACCUAUUAAUAGUUUAAUCUUUUAAAAAUUAAAAAAACAGUUAAGUUAAAAUAUAUUUUAAAUACAAAAAAACUUAAACAAUGAAUAAUUUAUUUAUUUUUUCUUCAAAAUUUAAAUUUCCGAACCCGACC